UACGGAGGGUGCAAGCGUUAAUCGGAAUUACUGGGCGUAAAGCGCACGCAGGCGGUUGAUUAAGUUGGAUGUGAAAUCCCCGGGCUUAACCUGGGAACUGCAUUCAAGACUGGUCAGCUAGAGUCUUGUAGAGGGGGGUAGAAUUCCAUGUGUAGCGGUGAAAUGCGUAGAGAUGUGGAGGAAUACCGGUGGCGAAGGCGGCCCCCUGGACAAAGACUGACGCUCAGGUGCGAAAGCGUGGGGAGCAAACAGG
rnacentral:rRNA from 1 species